CCUACGGGUGGCAGCAGUGAGGAAUAUUGGUCAAUGGGCGGGAGCCUGAACCAGCCAAGUCGCGUGAGGGAAGACGGUCCUACGGAUUGUAAACCUCUUUUGUCGGGGAGCAAUGCCGGGCACGCGUGCCCGGAUGGAGAGUACCCGCAGAAUAAGCAUCGGCUAACUCCGUGCCACCAGCCGCGGUAAUACGGAGGAUGCGACCGUUAGCCGGAUUGAUUGGGUUUAAAGGGUGCGCAGGCGGAUUUUUAAGUCAGCGGUAAAAUGGCGGGGAUCAACCCGGGCGGGCCGUGGAAACUGGGGGUCUGGAGUGGGAGAGAAGUAUGCGGAAUGCGUGGUGUAGCGGUGAAAUGCAUAGAUAUCGCGCAGAACCCCGAUUGCGAAGGCAGCAUACCGGCGCCCGACUGACGCUGAGGCACGAAAGCGUGGGGAUCGAACAGGAUUAGAUACCCGAGUAGUC
rnacentral:rRNA from 1 species